rnacentral:rRNA from 1 species
AAUCAACGCUGGCGGCGUGCCUAACACAUGCAAGUCGAACGCGAAAGCCCGCAAGGGUAAGUAGAGUGGCGCACGGGUGAGUAACACGUGGACAACCUGCCUUCGAGUGGGGAAUAACCUUCCGAAAGGAGGGCUAAUACCGCAUAACACCUCGGGACACAAGUUCUGGGGUUGAAAAGAGCAAUUUGCUCGAAGAGGGGUCCGCGCCUGACUAGCUAGUUGGUGAGGUAACGGCUCACCAAGGCUUCGAUCAGUAGCCGUCCUGAGAGGGAGCACGGCCACACUGGAACUGAGACACGGUCCAGACUCCUACGGGAGGCAGCAGUGGGGAAUUUUGGCAAUGGGCGAAAGACCUGACCAAGCAACGCCGCGUGGGUGAUGAGUAUCUUGGUACGU